UACGUAGGCAGCAAGCGUUGUUCGGAGUUACUGGGCGUAAAGAGCGUGUAGGCGGCCAGGUAGGUCAGCUGUGAAAACUCGAGGCUCAACCUCGAGACGCCGGUUGAAACCAUCUGGCUAGAGUCCGGAAGAGGAGAGUGGAAUUCCUGGUGUAGCGGUGAAAUGCGCAGAUAUCAGGAAGAACACCCGUGGCUAAGGCGGCUCUCUAGUACGGUACUGACGCUGAGACGCGAAAGCGUGGGGAGCGAACAGG
rnacentral:rRNA from 1 species